UUCCCUGUGUGAUCAAGCUUGCUUGUGUCCAGAUUGUUCUCCUAAGUCAGUUUUACAGCUGAUUUUUUUUUUUUUUAAGUAAUUUCUUGGCCAUCUGUCAAUGAGUGUAAAACACAUGGAGACUAAAAAUCCAUGGACAGUCUGUUCUGAAAAGUCUGGCUUCACAUUCCCUUUCUACUCCAUGCUAGAACAUUUGUAAGCACCACAAAGAGAAUCAACCUCUAUCUUCCAAAUCAGGGUCCAGACCUUUGAGUAAAAAAGCCCACCCAGCAGGUUUUUAAUUGCCUCUACAUCUAACUACCCAAAUAUCCUUGUUAUCUUCUUUUUUUUUUUUUUUUUUUUUUUUUAAUGCUGUGACUCAUCAGACCACCAGGUAAAAAGCCCCAGGUCAGCAAGCCAGCAGCCAGUAUGAGUAUAGAAAGAGAGAGAAUGGCUCUUAAAGUCUCUCAUUUCAAAGAGCUUUUGUAGCUUAUUCUUGCUGAGCAAAAAGCACAUUUUGAGUAGUCCAAUUUAUUGAGAUACCACAAGGCUGAUACAGUUGAAAAUCAGCCUAAUAUGAAAAAAAUAAAUGGACUUUCCAUGCUAAGAAAAACAAAGCUAGUGACAUUUCCUCAGAGCCAAAUAUUUCAUCAGCCUCUGUCUUAGUUCUAGGUCAUGUGUCAACAAGAGGGUUGUUUAUUUUUUAAACCAUGUGUCACAUGACCCAAUAGCAUCAUCUAUAAUAAUUUUCUGGAGUGUACCAGACAACCAGGACCCUCUCUGGAACACAAAUACUGAGACCAAGUCAAAUCAGCAGCUGUCUGUGUUUCUGAAUGAGCUUUUGUAAUUUAAAUGUCUCAUUCCAUUGGGAACUAAGGGAGGUGACAUAACCCAGAAGAAGCUCGGAAGUGAGAGUGUUUGUGGGGGUGGCUGAACUCUGUGACCUUUUUGGUCUGCCCUCCAAUUCUGUCUCUGGGAGUCAAUGAAUGUACUUCAGUUUUUGGCGCUCAGGACAAGCUUCUUGGGAGGUUUAUUUGAAAGAAAGAGAAAAGUGAAGCUUCAAGUAGGUCAAAUUGAAAUGAUGUCUCAAGUG
rnacentral:lncRNA from 1 species